rnacentral:rRNA from 1 species
CACGUAGGGUGCGAGCGUUGUCCGGAAUUAUUGGGCGUAAAGAGCUCGUAGGCGGUGUGUCGCGUCGGCCGUGAAAACCUGCAGCUUAACUGUGGGCUUGCGGUCGAUACGGGCAUCACUGGAGUUCGGCAGGGGAGACUGGAAUUCCUGGUGUAGCGGUGAAAUGCGCAGAUAUCAGGAGGAACACCGGUGGCGAAGGCGGGUCUCUGGGCCGAUACUG